CAGAACGAACGCUGGCGGCAUGCCUAACACAUGCAAGUCGAACGAAGGCUUCGGCCUUAGUGGCGCACGGGUGCGUAACGCGUGGGAACCUGCCCCUCGGUUCGGAAUAACAGUUAGAAAUGACUGCUAAUACCGGAUGAUGACUUCGGUCCAAAGAUUUAUCGCCGAGGGAUGGGCCCGCGUAGGAUUAGCUAGUUGGUGGGGUAAAGGCCUACCAAGGCGACGAUCCUUAGCUGGUCUGAGAGGAUGAUCAGCCACACUGGGACUGAGACACGGCCCAGACUCCUACGGGAGGCAGCAGUGGGGAAUAUUGGACAAUGGGCGAAAGCCUGAUCCAGCAAUGCCGCGUGAGUGAUGAAGGCCUUAGGGUUGUAAAGCUCUUUUACCAGGGAUGAUAAUGACAGUACCUGGAGAAUAAGCUCCGGCUAACUCCGUG
rnacentral:rRNA from 1 species